rnacentral:rRNA from 1 species
ACGUAGGUGGCAAGCGUUGUCCGGAAUCACUGGGCGUAAAGCGCGCGCAGGCGGCCAUUUAAGUCUGGGGUGGAAGCCCGAAGCUCAACUUCGGGACUGCCUUGGAUACUGGGUGGCUUGAGCAUCAGAGAGGCAAGGGGAAUCCCACGUGUAGCGGUGAAAUGCGUAGAGAUGUGGAGGAACACCGAUGGCGAAGGCAGCCCCCUGGGUUAACACUGACGCUCAGGCACGAAAGCGUGGGGAGCAAACAGGA